AAUGAGAUAACUGGAUCAUAUAGUGUUUCCACUUUUAGUUUUUUGAGGAAUCUCCAAACUGCUUUCCAAAAUGGUUGUUACUAAUUUGCAAUCCCACCAACAAU
rnacentral:pre_miRNA from 1 species